UACUUUGAUGUAAGAUUUUUAACGCCAUUAUUACCUGUUAUCUCCUAGAGCGACCAUAUAAUCCAAACUUCAUAGUCGCUGAUCGUCCCUCCCUGUGAUGAGGACAAAACGCAUAGAAACUUUCAGCUUUUAUGAAACAACGAAGGUCUAGAACGCACUGGCUCAUGUACAAACAAAUCUA